AGGUGGCAAGCGUUGUCCGGAAUUAUUGGGCGUAAAGGGAGCGCAGGCGGGAAAUUAAGCGGAUCUUAAAAGUGCGGGGCUCAACCUCGUGAUGGGGUCCGAACUGAUUUUCUUGAGUGCAGGAGAGGAAAGCGGAAUUCCCAGUGUAGCGGUGAAAUGCGUAGAUAUUGGGAAGAACACCAGUGGCGAAGGCGGCUUUCUGGACUGUAACUGACGCUGAGGCUCGAAAGCUAGGGUAGCGAACG
rnacentral:rRNA from 1 species